AUACGUAGGUGGCAAGCGUUAUCCGGAAUUAUUGGGCGUAAAGAGGGAGCAGGCGGCAGCAAGGGUCUGUGGUGAAAGCCUGAAGCUUAACUUCAGUAAGCCAUAGAAACCAGGCAGCUAGAGUGCAGGAGAGGAUCGUGGAAUUCCAUGUGUAGCGGGGAAAUGCGUAGAUAUAUGGAGGAACACCAGUGGCGAAGGCGACGAUCUGGCCUGCAACUGACGCUCAGUCCCGAAAGCGUGGGGAGCAAAUAGGAUUAGAUACCCUAGUAGUCCACGCCGUAAACGAUGAGUACUAAGUGUUGGAUGUCAAAGUUCAGUGCUGCAGUUAACGCAAUAAGUACUCCGCCUGAGUAGUACGUUCGCAAGAAUGAAACUCAAAUGAAUUGACGGGG
rnacentral:rRNA from 1 species